GACGAACGCUGGCGGCGUGCUUAACACAUGCAAGUCGAACGCUGAAGCCCUGGCUUUUGUUGGGUUGGAUGAGUGGCGAACGGGUGAGUAACACGUGAGUAACCUGCCCUCUUCUUUGGGAUAACGCCCGGAAACGGGUGCUAAUACUGGAUAUUCACUGGCCUUCGCAUGGGGGUUGGUGGAAAGGUUUGUUCUGGUGGGGGAUGGGCUCGCGGCCUAUCAGCUUGUUGGUGGGGUGAUGGCCUACCAAGGCUUUGACGGGUAGCCGGCCUGAGAGGGUGACCGGUCACAUUGGGACUGAGAUACGGCCCAGACUCCUACGGGAGGCAGCAGUGGGGAAUAUUGCACAAUGGGCGAAAGCCUGAUGCAGCGACGCCGCGUGAGGGAUGGAGGCCUUCGGGUUGUAAACCUCUUUCGCUCAUGGUCAAGCCGCAACUGUGGGUUGUGGUGAGGGUAGUGGGGAAAGAAGCGCCGGCUAACUACGU
rnacentral:rRNA from 1 species